GGGCAUUCGGGAACAUUUUUCUAUCCACAUACCAUUCUCUACCUCUUCCUUGAAAGCUGGGAAGGGUGACUAGCUGAUAUUCCUGUGGGUCACCAUGGCUACUCAGAGAGAUGGUGGUGUGUGCGGUCAUAUGGCUGUUGUGCACAGCAAGGUGUUCUGUAGAAUGGCAUGAAGUACCAGUG
rnacentral:lncRNA from 1 species